CGGCGCGCCUAACACAUGCAAGUCGAACGGGAAUGUUGAAGCUUGCUUCAACAUUCUAGUGGCGGACGGGUGAGUAACACGUGAGCAACCUGCCGGGGAGUGGGGAAUAACGUUGGGAAACCAACGCUAAUACCGCAUAACAUCAUCGGAUGGCAUCAUCUGGUGAUCAAAGGAGAAAUCCGCUUUCUGAUGGGCUCGCGCCCGAUUAGGUAGUUGGUGGGGUAAAGGCCUACCAAGCCCGCGAUCGGUAGCCGGACUGAGAGGUUGAUCGGCCACAUUGGGACUGAGACACGGCCCAGACUCCUACGGGAGGCAGCAGUGGGGGAUAUUGCACAAUGGGGGAAACCCUGAUGCAGCGACGCCGCGUGAGUGAAGACGGCCUUCGGGUUGUAAAGCUCUGCUAACGGGGACGAAAUUUGACGGUACCCGUUAAGAAAGCCACGGCUAACUACGUGCCAGCCGCCGCAGUAAAAC
rnacentral:rRNA from 1 species